UACGAAGGGGGCGAGCGUUGUUCGGAAUUACUGGGCGUAAAGGGCGCGCAGGCGGCUCUUCAAGUCAGGCGUGAAAGCCCCGGGCUUAACCUGGGAAUUGCGCUUGGGACUGGAGGGCUUGAGUACGGGAGAGGAGAGUGGAAUUCCCAGUGUAGAGGUGAAAUUCGUAGAUAUUGGGAAGAACACCGGUGGCGAAGGCGGCUCACUGGCUCAUUACUGACGCUCAGGCGCGACAGCGUGGGGAUCAAACAGG
rnacentral:rRNA from 1 species